GCCACACCGGCUGAACGAACUGGUUCGAGAACGUGUCCGUGUCAUUGACCAGUGAACCGCUGGUCCCGUUGCUGCUUGAGUUUUGCGAAGUGAUGUAUAGAGGAUCCAUGAUCAGUAAAUAAUCAGAGUGUGCUCAAUGUCAUUUUCCAUCCAGACAGUCUUUUGUAAAACCCCUGUUCCUCUGAAUAUCAUCCUCCAGGAAGUGAGAUUAUUUUGGAGGGAAAACAACAGAAGUACAUCGCCCAACAGAAAGAUCAGUGCAUGCAUAUAUCAAGAUGUCCACAGGUGGGAAAUGUGAGGACUGGAUCAAUGCACAAUCCUUGACCGGCUGCUGAAUCUACCAUUACUUGAGCUGUUUUUUUUUCUUUCUUUUUUUC